GGCUAGUCUCAAGGUAGUGAGUUAUCUCAAUUGAUUAUUCACAGUCAGUCACAGAUCAAAUUCCUAUUUUAUACUUUCCCCCCUUGUCACCACUGCACUUGAUGAAUAGCCUUAA
ensembl:misc_RNA Y_RNA Y RNA